rnacentral:rRNA from 1 species
AUGUCGGCGAUGGUGAUUAUGGAUCAAAACAUCGUAAUCGCAUUGGUGUCAUCUCUCCUGAUGUUGAUCUUGCGGCCAUUGAUUGUAGAUAUCAUCCUGGUAAGCAAAAAGAUCUGGGGAUUCUUGCGCACACUUACAAAAUACCUAGUGCAUGAUGGCACCCUUGCCGUCGACUCGAAGGUGCUUGAUGAUAGCCGUGCACCGCCAGUGCAACUAGUUGGCGGCGGCGAAUUGAGCUCUGGUGACAUAGAAAUUGUCACGACGAGGCUAGGUGUGACCGGGUGGAGGUACCAAGGGUGUGAAGGAAUUGGUGUCGUAGAUGAGUUGAUGGACGGUAAGCAAGCGAGCGAGGACGAGCUGGAGGAGGCCUUUUAUGUUUUUGACCGUAACGAGGACGGGUUCAUAUGCGCCGGAGAGUUGUGGAGCGUGAUGAGGAGGCUAGGGUGGAAAGAAGGGGCGAUAUAUGAGGAUUGUGUAAGGAUGAUCCGCGUCUUCGACGAGGAUGGAGAUGGGAAGAUCAGCUUCCUAGAGUUUAGAAAGAUGAUGGAGAAUGUCGUUUAG